ACUCCUACGGGAGGCAGCAGUGGGGAAUUGUUCGCAAUGGGCGCAAGCCUGACGACGCAACGCCGCGUGGAGGAUGAAGAUUUUCGGAUCGUAAACUCCUGUCGAGUGGAAAGAAAAGCUUCCGGGCGAAUAUCCCGGGAGCCUGACGGUACCACUAAAGGAAGCCCCGGCUAACUCCGUGCCAGCAGCCGCGGUAAUACGGGGGGGGCAAGCGUUGUUCGGAAUUACUGGGCGUAAAGGGCUGGUAGGCGGCCAACUAAGUCAGACGUGAAAUCCCCAGGCUCAACCUGGGAACUGCGUCUGAUACUGGAUGGCUUGAAUUCGGGAGAGGGAUGCAGAAUUCCAGGUGUAGCGGUGAAAUGCGUAGAUAUCUGGAGGAAUACCGGUGGCGAAGGCGGCAUCCUGGACCGACAUUGACGCUGAACAGCGAAAGCUAGGGGAGCAAACGGGAUUAGAUACCCCGGUAGUCCUAGCCCUAAACGAUGAAUGCUUGGUGUAACGGGUAUCGAUCCCUGUUGUGCCGAAGCUAACG
rnacentral:rRNA from 1 species